rnacentral:rRNA from 1 species
CGCAUCUGUGCAUGCAGCAUAUCAAUAAGCGGAGGAAAAGAAACUAACAAGGAUUCCCCUAGUAACGGCGAGUGAAGCGGGAAGAGCUCAAAUUUGAAAUCUUAAAGGGUUUCCCUUUACGAAUUGUAGUUUAAAGAAGUGUUUUCUGUUGAGGUUUUGGUAAAAGUUCUUUGGAAUAGGACAUCAUAGAGGGUGAGAAUCCCGUAUUUGACCUUUACUUUCAACUUUGUGAUACACUUUCAAAGAGUCGGAUUGUUUGGGAAUGCAGUCCAAAAUGGGUGGUAAAUUUCAUCUAAAGCUAAAUAUUGGCGAGAGACCGAUAGCGAACAAGUACCGUGAGGGAAAGAUGAAAAGAACUUUGAAAAGAGAGUUAAACAGUACGUGAAAUUGUCAAAAGGGAAGCGUUUGACACCAGUGUUGUUUUUCUGAAAAUCAAUUAAAGAACUGUUUAUGCUAAGCUGUUUAGACUUUAUCAGCUAACUGUUUAGUUUUGAGCUUUUCUUUAAUGCACUUUUCAGUUAACAAGUCAACAUCAAUUUCUUUUGCUGUAAAAAAGCUUGAGGAAGGUGGCUUGAGAUUCGUCUUAAGUGUUUAUAGCCUCUUGCCUAUGCAGUCGGAGAGAUUGAGGUCUGCAGCGUAGAUCCUUCGGGGCUAAAUGCAUUUGUGCUAAGUUAUAGCAUUUUAUAGACAACUUGUUGACUAUGAUUUGUCUUGUAGCUUACUCGCUUAUGUUAUUUUACCUACGCUUAGGAUGUUGAGUAUCACACAUCUCU